UACGUAGGGUGCAAGCGUUAAUCGGAAUUACUGGGCGUAAGCGUGCGCAGGCGGUUAUGUAAGACAGAUGUGAAAUCCCCGGGCUUAACCUGGGAACUGCAUUGGUGACUGGCAGGCUAGAGUAUGGCAGAGGGGGGUAGAAUUCCACGUGUAGCAGUGAAAUGCGUAGAGAUGUGGAGGAAUACCGAUGGCGAAGGCAGCCCCCUGGGCCAAUACUGACGCUCAUGCACGAAAGCGUGGGGAGCAAACAGG
rnacentral:rRNA from 1 species